AGCGAACGUUAGCGGCGGGCCUAACACAUGCAAGUCGAACGAGAAUGAGGGCUUCGGCUCUCUAGUAAAGUGGCGGACGGGUGCGUAACACGUGGGUAAUCUACCUUCCGGCGGGGGACAACAGUCCGAAAGGAUUGCUAAUACCGCAUACGUCAGCGGCGCCUACGGGCGCUGUUGGGAAAGAUGGCCUCUCCUUGGAAGCUGUCACCGGAAGAUGAGCCCGCGGCCCAUCAGCUAGUUGGUGAGGUAAUGGCUCACCAAGGCUAAGACGGGUAGCUGGUCUGAGAGGAUGAUCAGCCACACUGGGACUGCGACACGGCCCAGACUCCUACGGGAGGCAGCAGUGGGGAAUAUUGGGCAAUGGGCGAAAGCCUGACCCAGCCACGCCGCGUGAGUGAAUGAAGGCCUUCGGGUCGUAAAGCUCUGUGGGGAGGGACGAAUAAGUCCGGUGCUAAUAUCACCGGGCCCUGACGGUACCUCCUUAGCAAGCACCGGCUAACCCUGUGCCAGCCGCAGC
rnacentral:rRNA from 1 species